rnacentral:lncRNA from 1 species
UGCUCCCAGGGACCACUUCUGUCACGGCGUUGAAAGCACGAGGGUUGAAGUAACGUACUCUCGGGAUCGGUCGAGUUUCAGGAAAAAUAUACAGGAAUACCCUGGGAGUAACCUGUACUUCAACAUUUUGCGGGCCUCCUCACUCCAAACCAGUACCACGAAGACGAAGCGCAGUUGGUGGAAUCGACUUGUGAUCAUCGUGGCAUCAAUGACUUUGUCACGAUUCCUGUUGGAAGAGAAGGCUUCCUGCAUCAUACGAAGGUGACGUAUUACGAACACGCACGGGAGGCAGUGUCGACGAAGCAUCCGGGUUACGAGGUUUUUGAGGUAGCCGGUUGACGACAUUGUCCACUAAACCGCAUGACCACCGUAGCCAGAGGCUCAAUAUUGGAUGCAGUGAGGCCGGUGUACCGGUUGCUGCAGGUGACUGAGAGGAGGGAGGGCGCGGUGGACAUCCAAGGUGGCAAAGAGGGUCAAAACAUAGACGGCAUAAUUGUAUCUUGUUAUCGCAAUGCGAGGCUUAUUGGACUGCGAUAAGCUGAGAGCUGGGAACCGGAUCGAGGACAAUGAAAUACUCGACGCUUAGUAACCAUCGUUACUACGCUGCUGAGCACUGGUCAGUCCGUGAAUCUAUACCGAAAAUCCAGUUCGAUCUGGUUUCAUCGCUGCGCCGCCGCUGCUAACGUCGACGAAGGAAAAGGAUUAUCUCCCGGUAAGGCUGGGUUCGUCCGUCGCUUCGAGCCGAGCUUUGGUGAUUACUUCCCUGUGUUGGUGCUGGCUAUUUGUACAUGUGCCAAGCUGUAUAGCUGGACACGUUACAGUACAUUAAGAUGCAAAUUUGAUUUUCUGAUAAAGAUUAAAAUAUCACAGUCGCAUACCAAUUAUUCAAAGAUUCCGGACAAAUCUCACUUUUAACCAUCACCACAGUAUUUAUUACGAUAGAAACGAUACCUCUUUUACUGAAUUUUUCUAGUUACUAUGAAAAAUGAAAUUUUUCUCAGUGCAGGCAUCCGAAGGAUUCGCAUCUGUGAUAUCAGGUGUAUAAUAACAUGCCGCGCCCCAUUUCAUGCUGCGGAAUAAAAUACAAAAUGGCGAUCAAUGAGCUACGAAUCACACGGUUAAAAAUGGAAUUCAAUUAAGAGUGACGUAACAAGCGGCAGAACCGUGGCACACAGCGUCGGUGUUCUCUGGUCUUUGAUUAAAAAUGCAUAGGUCGAGCCAAGCCCGAAAAAGGUGAGUUGAGUUUUAUCUCUGGCCCCAAUUUAACCGGCAACGGUUUGCCUCGAGAGCCGGUUACAAGAUGACGGGUGAACAGGCCUAUAUUGCAGCCAUAAGACGAGGGGAUAAAGGAUUUCGUUAGAUCCAUUCUGGAGACCCUCGGGUCGAUCAGGGCGAACGGAAUCUAGUUUAAAUCUGGAUUCAGAUCCGGCUACUCGACGUUAGAAGCUGAAAGCAAACCGGAAGAGACGGACACGGACCUUGAUAAGAAUUUCUUAACCAGGAAUGAAUGAACGAGCUAUCGAGAGUCAGGAUCACCGUACAACCGGAUGUCCCCGGCUGCAGUGAGCUGCUUUUCCACCGGGGGGGGUGAAAAGCCGAAAACGUACGUUUUCGCGUGUGUGCAAAUUCGACGCGAAUCCAUCAUUCGAUUCGAUUCGUUCUUCGAAUGUACACACAGACGUACGUGUCCAAAAUGACGCGUAAGCCCGCACUGUUCACCCUCAGGACAGGCGGCAGAAGCGAGGCAAGGCAACCCCAGCAUGACAUCUGUCAAUCCCCUGGUUUUGGAUUAGUACGAAUACCUCCGCUCUGCACUGUAUGUGAGGCCUGGCACACACUGAGAAAAAUUUCAUUUUUAAUAGUAACUAAAAAAAUUCGGUAAGA